UGAGACUUCACGGAAGGCUAGGUUUGGCCUUUAGCAUAUAUGAAUGAAGUGAUCUCAUUCAGAUUAUUCAUAAGUUAAAAAGAAAGAAGAAAUAAGAAUUCUGAAACCUUUGUUUUCAGCUUUUGGGCUAAGUAGUUCUCCGGCAAGUCGCUCAAAUUAUGAAUUAAUCAAAGUCAGAAGAGAUGGCAGAUUGGAAGGAUUCGUGCAGCUAGACUCGAUUGCUGGCAUAUAGAGAAGUGCCAAAACAGAAGGAAAAUGCCGUGAGGGGCCUCGAAUUCACGUGGGUUAAGAUCGGACAGAGACAUGUAGACGCCAAUGCCACGCCAUUUUUCUUGUCAUUUCAUCUUCUCUUCUCUCCCACUCACUCAAUUAUAAUUAAAAAAAAGCCUUUUGAUUU